ACCAGACUCCUACGGGAGGCAGCAGUGGGGGAUAUUGCACAAUGGGGGAAACCCUGAUGCAGCGACGCCGCGUGAGUGAAGAAGUAUUUCGGUAUGUAAAGCUCUAUCAGCAGGGAAGAAGAUGACAGUACCUGAGUAAGAAGCCCCGGCUAACUACGUGCCAGCAGCCGCGGUAAUACGUAGGGGGCAAGCGUUAUCCGGAUUUACUGGGUGUAAAGGGAGCGUAGACGGCCAUGCAAGCCAGGGGUGAAAGCCCGGGGCCCAACCCCGGGACUGCCCUUGGAACUGCAUGGCUGGAGUGCGGGAGGGGCAGGCGGAAUUCCUAGUGUAGCGGUGAAAUGCGUAGAUAUUAGGAGGAACACCAGUGGCGAAGGCGGCCUACUGGACGGUGACUGACGCUGAGGCUCGAAAGCGUGGGGAGCAAACAGGAUUAGAUACCCGAGUAA
rnacentral:rRNA from 1 species